rfam:Stegodyphus mimosarum contig75921, whole genome shotgun sequence.
GCCUUCGUGGUGUUGUGGUCAGCACGCUCGAUGGGUAACCGAGAGGUCCGUGGUUCGAUUCCCGGCGAAGGAG